rnacentral:rRNA from 1 species
GGCUUUGUUUGCGCAGGAUAGGUGGGAGGCGUUGAAAGUUUUCUUGCGGGAAGAUUUGAGCCAUUGGUGAGAUACCACUCUAACAAUGCUAGGAUUCUAACCCUAUGUCGUUAUCCGGCUAGGGGACAGUUUCAGGUGGUCAGUUUGACUGGGGCGGUCGCCUCCUAAAAGGUAACGGAGGCGUGCAAAGGUUCCCUCAGGCUGGUUGGAAAUCAGUCGUAGAGUGUAAAGGCAUAAGGGAGCUUGAUUGUGAGACCUACAAGUCGAACAAAGACGAAAGUCGGCCUUAGUGAUCCGGCGGUACCGAGUGGAAGGGCCGUCGCUCAACGGAUAAAAGUUACUCUAGGGAUAACA